AAAGAGAAGCGUAGCCUUUUGUUUCGGAAACGCGCUGCAUCCCCUUCAUCUAGCGUUCAAUGCUUCUUUUCUUUGUUGUCGCUUUGUCUAAUUGUUCAUCAGACAGUCCAGAGUCGCUAUAGGCAAUGGAAUAGCUGUGUUGCUUGCACCCGUACAUUGAGUGCAAUUAGUACAAUUCUGGAUUGGAUUGAAUUGAACUCCCUUUGUAAUUAGGAUGUCUCUGCAUCCUACCACUUUGUGACGUGAAGGCCCAGCAUUUUCGUGUUUGUAGAACACAGAGUCCAGCCUUCUGUUUAAAGGAUGAACCAGACCGGAGCCUGCGGCCUCUCUGAGAGUAGAGUCAGCACCCUGGCUCGAAGUGCUGGAGCCUCAUGAUGCUGCGUCACCCCGGGAUGAGCAAGUUGUGCCUAGUUCUAGGACUCUGAGCACCAAGCUGGCGGACCUGGGAGAGCAGCGGAUAUGGCUGGAUGCUGGAGGAGGAUUUGUGGCUACCAGAAGGACCCACGGCCUGUAGUAAGCAGAAUUGACCACCAGAAAGCCAACGCUCAAGACGGGUUUUUGGACUGUGUGGAACAGGAGGCCACAGGUCUUCAGAGAUGGAGGCCUAGAAUUCGUGUAUUCCAUGAGAUGAGACUGAGGGCUUUCCUUUGUGGGCGGUCCAUAGGACUGUGCUAGAGAAUUCUAUGGUGACUUCAUUUCAGCCUGGAGGCCUUCUGAAGCUGUGGUAUCAAGAUGAAGGGGCUGGGAUUAAGGACUGUCAGUAACAGAGUUCUUGCUGAAAUUUGUCAUCUCAGACUCAAAAAAGUGAAUACCAGAGCUCACUUUUGGAGGUUAUUCACCUACCCACUCGUUAUUCAUGUCAGCUGUCCAAAUGCAAAACUUUUAACACUGCUAUACUCUGGAAAUGUCUAUAAAUGCAGUAUAUCUGAUGGAAUAAAUCAUAUUCUCAGUCUCCUCUGUA